rnacentral:lncRNA from 1 species
UAUAAAACAGAAUUAUUUAAGCACUGGAUAGUUAUUUUAUUUAAUUACAUUCACAUAAAUACUAUAGAAUCUUUAAAUUUUAUUUUCAUAAUUUUAUAAUUUAAAAUACAUAAUUAAAAUACACUGUGGUGUAGCUGACAAUCAAUUUAUGUGCUACCCAAGCAAAUGUAAAACCAAUAAGAAUCUUAUUUUAUCUGAAAAUCAAAAUGCGGCUUGUUUAGUUUUGACUCUGUCAAUGUAAAGUUGCUGGGAAGUUAAAGAACUAACAAGACAUUUCUAAGAGUCUUUUAUUAUUUCUGUUGUGAUCUGCAAGAGGUACUAUUCUAAGUCCUGAAGACACAAUAUUAAUUCCAGUCAUUCCUUUUCAAAAAUAACUCACCAUUAGAGCACUCGUAAUAGCUAUUACAGUUUUAAAUAGCCAAGUUAUACUAUAGGAAAAGCCUUUGAAAUGUAAUGUACUUAUAUGAACAUAUGUAGAUCCUGUUAAAUCAUUAUGGUUCAUGGGGAGCAGCUUACCUAGCCUGUGCAUUCUGGGUGUUGUGCAUUCAAGAAAGAUCUACCCAUUCAUAUAUACUAUAUAUAUAUAUAUAUAUAUAUUUAUAUAUUUAUAUAUAUAUAUAUAUAGUAAUGGAAAAAAGUAUAGAAACAUAUAUUUAAUUUAAAAAAUUGAGAGUGAGGGAGGGAGGGAUAGAAAAGGAGAGAGAGAGAGAGAAAGAGAGAAAGAAUCUCAUUUGCUUUUUCUUCUUAAAAGCCUACAACCGCCACCAGCUGCAGAUUAUAAUGGAAUCCAGGAAUGCCAUCCAAGUCUCUCAUGAAGGAGGAUUACUUGAGCUGAAAGAUUAUGACGAUACAUCUAGACCCCAGUGCAAUCAACUAGGUUUAAUUCCGUUUCUAAAGAAUUUUCAAACAAUGACAUGGCUUCAACUGCAACCUGGUAUGACUGCAUUAGUAUUCAUUAGGUCUCUGAAUUUCAGUCUGCAUCUGUCCACCAACACACAAAUUCUUUCCUCCUUUAUUAAAAUGUUUUUAUUUGUCUUCUAUCAUUUCUUGGGUACUGAGCUAUAUAAGU